rnacentral:rRNA from 1 species
UACGUAGGGUGCAAGCGUUGUCCGGAAUUAUUGGGCGUAAAGAGCUCGUAGGCGGUCUGUUGCGUCGGCUGUGAAAACCCGGGGCUCAACCCCGGGCCUGCAGCCGAUACGGGCAGACUAGAGUUCGGCAGGGGAGACUGGAAUUCCUGGUGUAGCGGUGGAAUGCGCAGAUAUCAGGAGGAACACCAAUGGCGAAGGCAGCUCGCUGGGACGGUACUGACGCUGAGACGCGAAAGCGUGGGGAGCAAACAGG